rnacentral:rRNA from 1 species
AUUUCAACAACGGAUCUCUUGGCUCUGGCAUCGAUGAAGAACGCAGCGAAAUGCGAUAAGUAAUGUGAAUUGCAGAAUUCAGUGAAUCAUCGAAUCUUUGAACGCACAUUGCGCCCGCCAGUAUUCUGGCGGGCAUGCCUGUUCGAGCGUCAUUACAACCCUCAGGCCCCCGGGCCUGGCGUUGGGGAUCGGCGGAAGCCCCCUGCGGGCACAACGCCGUCCCCCAAAUACAGUGGCGGUCCCGCCGCAGCUUCCAUUGCGUAGUAGCUAACACCUCGCAACUGGAGAGCGGCGCGGCCACGCCGUAAAACACCCAACUUCUGAAUGUUGACCUCGAAUCAUGUAGGAAUACCCGCUGAACUUAUGCAUAUCAAUAAGCGGAGGAAAAGAAACCAACAGGGAUUGCCCCAGUA